rnacentral:lncRNA from 1 species
UGCGCAACUAAAUUAUUUGGCCCUUUGAAGGCAGGAAGAAAAUCGGGUAUUAUGUGUGUGUCUCCUCCCCCAGCCCCUUCACAAGUCCUUCCAUAAUGGGCAUUUGUUGGACUCGUAAAUGAGGCAGGAUAAGAUCAGAGCAUCAAAAAAUAGUCUUUAUGAGCCACCACCACCCUAAGCCACUUCGGCACCCAACUACAGAAACAGGAAGAUACAAAAACUCUGGUAUUCACUCCGAGCAUACCCGAGGUUGUUAUGGCACACAUAGCAACACUCAAACAAAUACAACAAAUAAGAGGCAGCCUGGCACAAUUGCUAAGGAGCCAGAUUCUCUGGGCACAAUCUCUCAGCUCUAUGACCCUGGGCAAGUUACUUAAUCUGGCUGUGCCCCAGUUUCCCCAUCUAUAACAUGGGGAUAAUAGCAGCAUAUACCUGCACAUAGUUAAGUGUUACAUAAGUGCACCCUAAAUAAUAAUUCACUGACAAUAAUGAGCUUAGACUAGACCAUACAUUCUCACCAAUAGCAAAAUUGCCCCCAAGGGAGCAAAAAUUGGUUCUUAGA